rnacentral:piRNA from 1 species
UAACUUUAUUUUGUAUUUUGUUAGUGUGU